CCUACGGGAGGCAGCAGUGGGGAAUAUUGCGCAAUGGGCGAAAGCCUGACGCAGCGACGCCGCGUGAGGGAUGAAGGUCUUCGGAUCGUAAACCUCUGUCAGCAGGGAAGAACGGUCACUGUGCUAAUCAGCAGUGAAUUGACGGUACCUGCAAAGGAAGCACCGGCUAACUCCGUGCCAGCAGCCGCGGUAAUACGGAGGGUGCGAGCGUUAAUCGGAAUUACUGGGCGUAAAGCGCUCGUAGGCGGUAUGUCAAGUCAAGGGUGAAAUCCCCGCGCUCAACGGGGGAACUGCCUUUGAAACUGGCAAACUGGAGUGAGUGAGAGGAUAGUGGAAUUCCAGGUGGAGGAGUGAAAUGCGUAGAUAUCUGGAGGAACAUCAGUGGCGAAGGCGGCUAUCUGGCACAUAACUGACGCUGAGGAGCGAAAGCGUGGGUAGCAAACAGGAUUAGAUACCCUAGUAGUC
rnacentral:rRNA from 1 species